ACACAGAAAAGGAAGUGUCAACAAAAGAAGAUAAGCUCACACCGUGUGCAGCUGCGAAAGCCAAGCCAGUGAGGGCAGCUGUCGACCUGGGCCGGGAGAAGCUCCUCAGGACGCCCACAGAAAAGUGGAAGAGACAGGACGACAGAGACUCGAGAGAAAAGCGUUGUUUCAUCUGUGGAAGAGAAGGACACAUUAAAAAGGAAUGCCCACAGUUCAAAGGCUCUCCAGACCCCCUCUGCUGUAAACAAGAUAAAACAACUUCUUAAAGACAAACCUGAGCAUGUGGGUCUGAAAGUUGGCGUGCGAACCAGGGGCUGUAAUGGCCUCUCUUACAGCCUGGAGU
rnacentral:lncRNA from 1 species